rnacentral:rRNA from 1 species
UACGGGGGGAGCAAGCGUUGUUCGGAUUUACUGGGCGUAAAGGGCGCGUAGGCGGUCGUGACAAGUCACUUGUGAAAUCUCCGGGCUUAACUCGGAACGGUCAAGUGAUACUGUCGGACUAGAGUACAGAAGGGGCAACUGGAAUUCUCGGUGUAGCGGUGAAAUGCGUAGAUAUUGGGAGGAACACCAGUGGCGAAGGCGGCUACCUGGACCGGUUCUGACGCUGAGGCGCGAAAGCGUGGGUAGCAAACAGG